rnacentral:sRNA from 1 species
GUACAUAUACGGCUGCAAGGGCGGUCGGCACAACCUCUCGGAAGGGAGGUGAUGCCAUGGAAGUAUACCAAGCAUUGAUGCUAAUGAUUUCAUUCGCUUCAUUGGUUGUGGCUAUGCUUUCAUUCCAUAAACGGAAAUAGACCGCCCCCUGCAAGGUAACGGUCUAUUUCCUAUGACUAUUCCGAUUGCCGACCGCCUUUGAAGCGGAAGUGUACCAGGGCGUCGAUGUUCCAGCAUCGACG